CGCAUCUGUGCAUGCAGCAUAUCAAUAAGCGGAGGAAAAGAAACUAACAAGGAUUCCCCUAGUAACGGCGAGUGAAGCGGGAAGAGCUCAAAUUUGAAAUCUUAAAGGGUUUCCCUUUACGAAUUGUAGUUUAAAGAAGUGUUUUCUGUUGAGGUUUUGGUAAAAGUUCUUUGGAAUAGGACAUCAUAGAGGGUGAGAAUCCCGUAUUUGACCUUUACUUUCAACUUUGUGAUACACUUUCAAAGAGUCGGAUUGUUUGGGAAUGCAGUCCAAAAUGAGUGGUAAAUUUCAUCUAAAGCUAAAUAUUGGCGAGAGACCGAUAGCGAACAAGUACCGUGAGGGAAAGAUGAAAAGAACUUUGAAAAGAGAGUUAAACAGUACGUGAAAUUGUCAAAAGGGAAGCGUUUGACACCAGUGUUGUUUUUCUGAAAAUCAAUUAAAGAACUGUUUAUGCUAAGCUGUUUAGACUUUAUCAGCUAACUGUUUAGUUUUGAGCUUUUCUUUAAUGCACUUUUCAGUUAACAAGUCAACAUCAAUUUCUUUUGCUGUAAAAAAGCUUGAGGAAGGUGGCUUGAGAUUCGUCUUAAGUGUUUAUAGCCUCUUGCCUAUGCAGUCGGAGAGAUUGAGGUCUGCAGCGUAGAUCCUUCGGGGCUAAAUGCAUUUGUGCUAAGUUAUAGCAUUUUAUAGACAACUUGUUGACUAUGAUUUGUCUUGUAGCUUACUCGCUUAUGUUAUUUUACCUACGCUUAGGAUGUUGAGUCAUCACACAUCUCU
rnacentral:rRNA from 1 species